rnacentral:rRNA from 1 species
GGGGCAGGGUGAGUCGACCCCUAAGGCGAGGCCGAAAGGCGUAGUCGAUGGGAAACAGGUUAAUAUUCCUGUACUUGGUGUUACUGCGAAGGGGGGACGGAGAAGGCUAUGUUGGCCGGGCGACGGUUGUCCCGGUUUAAGCGUGUAGGCUGGUUUUCCAGGCAAAUCCGGAAAAUCAAGGCUGAGGCGUGAUGACGAGGCACUACGGUGCUGAAGCAACAAAUGCCCUGCUUCCAGGAAAAGCCUCUAAGCAUCAGGUAACAUCAAAUCGUACCCCAAACCGACACAGGUGGUCAGGUAGAGAAUACCAAGGCGCUUGAGAGAACUCGGGUGAAGGAACUAGGCAAAAUGGUGCCGUAACUUCGGGAGAAGGCACGCUGAUAUGUAGGUGAAGUCCCUUGCGGAUGGAGCUGAAAUCAGUCGAAGAUACCAGCUGGCUGCAACUGUUUAUUAAAAACACAGCACUGUGCAAACACGAAAGUGGACGUAUACGGUGUGACGCCUGCCCGGUGCCGGAAGGUUAAUUGAUGGGGUCAGCGCAAGCGAAGCUCUUGAUCGAAGCCCCGGUAAACGGCGGCCGUAACUAUAACGGUCCUAAGGUAGCGAAAUUCCUUGUCGGGUAAGUUCCGACCUGCACGAAUGGCGUAAUGAUGGCCAGGCUGUCUCCACCCGAGACUCAGUGAAAUUGAACUCGCUGUGAAGAUGCAGUGUACCCGCGGCAAGACGGAAAGACCCCGUGAACCUUUACUAUAGCUUGACACUGAACAUUGAGCCUUGAUGUGUAGGAUAGGUGGGAGGCUUUGAAGUGUGGACGCCAGUCUGCAUGGAGCCGGCCUUGAAAUACCACCCUUUAAUGUUUGAUGUUCUAACGUGGACCCGUGAUCCGGGUUGCGGACAGUGUCUGGUGGGUAGUUUGACUGGGGCGGUCUCCUCCUAAAGAGUAACGGAGGAGCACGAAGGUUGGCUAAUCCUGGUCGGACAUCAGGAGGUUAGUGCAAUGGCAUAAGCCAGCUUGACUGCGAGCGUGACGGCGCGAGCAGGUGCGAAAGCAGGUCAUAGUGAUCCGGUGGUUCUGAAUGGAAGGGCCAUCGCUCAACGGAUAAAAGGUACUCCGGGGAUAACAGGCUGAUACCGCCCAAGAGUUCAUAUCGACGGCGGUGUUUGGCACCUCGAUGUCGGCUCAUCACAUCCUGGGGCUGAAGUAGGUCCCAAGGGUAUGGCUGUUCGCCAUUUAAAGUGGUACGCGAGCUGGGUUUAGAACGUCGUGAGACAGUUCGGUCCCUAUCUGCCGUGGGCGCUGGAGAACUGAGGGGGGCUGCUCCUAGUACGAGAGGACCGGAGUGGACGCAUCACUGGUGUUCGGGUUGUCAUGCCAAUGGCACUGCCCGGUAGCUAAAUGCGGAAGAGAUAAGUGCUGAAAGCAUCUAAGCACGAAACUUGCCCCGAGAUGAGUUCUCCCUGACCCUUUAAGGGUCCUGAAGGAACGUUGAAGACGACGACGUUGAUAGGCCGGGUGUGUAAGCGCAGCGAUGCGUUGAGCUAACCGGUACUAAUGAACCGUGAGGCUUAACCUU